rnacentral:rRNA from 1 species
UCUUCCCUCUGGCGGCGUGCCUAAUACAUGCAAGUCGAGCGAACAGGCGAGGAGCUUGCUCCUCUGACGUUAGCGGCGGACGGGUGAGUAACACGUGGAUAACCUACCUAUAAGACUGGGAUAACUUCGGGAAACCGGAGCUAAUACCGGAUAAUAUAUUGAACCGCAUGGUUCAAUAGUGAAAGACGGUUUUGCUGUCACUUAUAGAUGGAUCCGCGCCGCAUUAGCUAGUUGGUAAGGUAACGGCUUACCAAGGCAACGAUGCGUAGCCGACCUGAGAGGGUGAUCGGCCACACUGGAACUGAGACACGGUCCAGACUCCUACGGGAGGCAGCAGUAGGGAAUCUUCCGCAAUGGGCGAAAGCCUGACGGAGCAACGCCGCGUGAGUGAUGAAGGUCUUCGGAUCGUAAAACUCUGUUAUUAGGGAAGAACAAAUGUGUAAGUAACUAUGCACGUCUUGACGGUACCUAAUCAGAAAGCCACGGCUAACUACGUG